UACAACAUGAUGGGACGUGUGUGACUGU
rnacentral:piRNA from 1 species